UAUACCGAUAUGCAGAGAAGGUAGUAGCCGUGUCUAUCCCCAUUCCCAUAAAACAGUUAAUUGUGCCUCUGAAGUACAGACAAGAGUUACUGCAUAUAGCACACAACAUACCUUUGUUGGGUCAUUUAGGAAUCAGCCGAACUAAACAUCGGCUGACUCAAAACUUCUUCUGGCCAGGUAUCUCCAAGGAUAUUAGACAAUACUGUAAUACCUGCGAUACCUGCCAGAAGGUAGGGAAAAGGGGAGACCACUAUAAAGCCAAACUCCACUCCCUACCCAUAAUAGAAGAACCCUUUAGUCGAG